GACGAACGCUGGCGGCGUGCUUAACACAUGCAAGUCGAACGGAAAGGCCCUUCGGGGUGCUCGAGUGGCGAACGGGUGAGUAACACGUGGGUGAUCUGCCCUGCACUUCGGGAUAAGCCUGGGAAACUGGGUCUAAUACCGGAUAGGACCGCAUGCUUCAUGGUGUGUGGUGGAAAGCUUUUGCGGUGUGGGAUGGGCCCGCGGCCUAUCAGCUUGUUGGUGGGGUAAUGGCCUACCAAGGCGACGACGGGUAGCCGGCCUGAGAGGGUGUCCGGCCACACUGGGACUGAGAUACGGCCCAGACUCCUACGGGAGGCAGCAGUGGGGAAUAUUGCACAAUGGGCGCAAGCCUGAUGCAGCGACGCCGCGUGGGGGAUGACGGCCUUCGGGUUGUAAACCUCUUUCAGCACAGACGAAGCGCAAGUGACGGUAUGUGCAGAAGAAGCACCGGCCAACUACGUGCCAGCAGCCGCAGUAA
rnacentral:rRNA from 1 species